rnacentral:rRNA from 1 species
UACGAAGGGGGCUAGCGUUGCUCGGAAUCACUGGGCGUAAAGCGCACGUAGGCGGAUUGUUAAGUCAGGGGUGAAAUCCUGGAGCUCAACUCCAGAACUGCCUUUGAUACUGGCGAUCUUGAGUCCGGGGAGAGGUGAGUGGAACUGCGAGUGUAGAGGUGAAAAUUCGUAGAUAUCGCAAAGAACACCAGUGGCGAAGGCGGCUCACUGGCCCGGUACUGACGCUGA